AGCGAACGCUGGCGGCAAGCUUAACACAUGCAAGUCGAACGCCCCGCAAGGGGAGUGGCGGACGGGUGCGUAACACGUGGGAAUCUGCCUUUAGGUAAGGAAUAACUCAGGGAAACUUGAGCUAACACCUUAUAAUGUCUUCGGACCAAAAAUUUAUUGCCUAAAGAUGAGCCCGCGGUAGAUUAGCUAGUUGGUGAGGUAAUGGCUCACCAAGGCGACGAUCCCUAGCUGGUUUGAGAGGAUGAUCAGCCACACUGGAACUGAGACACGGUCCAGACUCCUACGGGAGGCAGCAGUGGGGAAUAUUGGACAAUGGGCGCAAGCCUGAUCCAGCCAUGCCGCGUGUGUGAAGAAGGCCUUCGGGUUGUAAGGCACUUUCAGUAGGGAGGAAGCGUUGAGUGUUAAUAGUACUCAGCGUUGACGUUACCUACAGAAGAAGCACCGGCUAACUCUGUGCCAGCCGCCGCCUAAUAC
rnacentral:rRNA from 1 species